GGUUAAGUUAGAAAGGGCGCACGGUGGAUGCCUUGACACUAGGAGUCGAUGAAGGACGGGACUAACGCCGAUAUGCUUCGGGGAGCUGUAAGUAAGCUUUGAUCCGAAGAUUUCCGAAUGGGGAAACCCACCAUACGUAAUGGUAUGGUAUCCUUAUCUGAAUACAUAGGGUAAGGAAGACAGACCCAGGGAACUGAAACAUCUAAGUACCUGGAGGAAGAGAAAGCAAAUGCGAUUUCCUGAGUAGCGGCGAGCGAAACGGAACAUAGCCCAAACCAAGAGGCUUGCCUCUUGGGGUUGUAGGACAUUCUAUACGGAGUUACAAAGGAACGAGGUAGACGAAGCGACCUGGAAAGGUCCGUCGUAGAGGGUAACAACCCCGUAGUCGAAACUUCGUUCUCUCUUGAAUGUAUCCUGAGUACGGCGGAACACGUGAAAUUCCGUCGGAAUCUGGGAGGACCAUCUCCCAAGGCUAAAUACUCCCUAGUGAUCGAUAGUGAACCAGUACCGUGAGGGAAAGGUGAAAAGCACCCCGGAAGGGGAGUGAAAGAGAUCCUGAAACCGUGUGCCUACAAAUAGUCAGAGCCCGUUAACGGGUGAUGGCGUGCCUUUUGUAGAAUGAACCGGCGAGUUACGAUCCCGUGCGAGGUUAAGCUGAAGAGGCGGAGCCGCAGCGAAAGCGAGUCUGAAUAGGGCGUUUAGUACGUGGUCGUAGACCCGAAACCAGGUGAUCUACCCAUGUCCAGGGUGAAGUUCAGGUAACACUGAAUGGAGGCCCGAACCCACGCACGUUGAAAAGUGCGGGGAUGAGGUGUGGGUAGCGGAGAAAUUCCAAUCGAACCUGGAGAUAGCUGGUUCUCCCCGAAAUAGCUUUAGGGCUAGCCUUAAGUGUAAGAGUCUUGGAGGUAGAGCACUGAUUGGACUAGGGGUCCUCAUCGGAUUACCGAAUUCAGUCAAACUCCGAAUGCCAAUGACUUAUCCUUAGGAGUCAGACUGCGAGUGAUAAGAUCCGUAGUCAAAAGGGAAACAGCCCAGACCGCCAGCUAAGGUCCCAAAGUGUGUAUUAAGUGGAAAAGGAUGUGGAGUUGCUUAGACAACUAGGAUGUUGGCUUAGAAGCAGCCACCAUUUAAAGAGUGCGUAAUAGCUCACUAGUCGAGUGACUCUGCGCCGAAAAUGUACCGGGGCUAAAUACACCACCGAAGCUGCGGAUUGAUACCAAUGGUAUCAGUGGUAGGGGAGCGUUCUAAGGACAGUGAAGUCAGACCGGAAGGACUGGUGGAGUGCUUAGAAGUGAGAAUGCCGGUAUGAGUAGCGAAAGACGGGUGAGAAUCCCGUCCACCGAAUGCCUAAGGUUUCCUGAGGAAGGCUCGUCCGCUCAGGGUUAGUCAGGACCUAAGCCGAGGCCGACAGGCGUAGGCGAUGGACAACAGGUUGAUAUUCCUGUACCACCUCUUUAUCGUUUGAGCAAUGGAGGGACGCAGAAGGAUAGAAGAAGCGUGCGAUUGGUUGUGCACGUCCAAGCAGUUAGGCUGAUAAGUAGGCAAAUCCGCUUAUCGUGAAGGCUGAGCUGUGAUGGGGAAGCUCCUUAUGGAGCGAAGUCUUUGAUUCCCCGCUGCCAAGAAAAGCUUCUAGCGAGAUAAAAGGUGCCUGUACCGCAAACCGACACAGGUAGGCGAGGAGAGAAUCCUAAGGUGUGCGAGAGAACUCUGGUUAAGGAACUCGGCAAAAUGACCCCGUAACUUCGGGAGAAGGGGUGCUUUCUUAACGGAAAGCCGCAGUGAAUAGGCCCAAGCGACUGUUUAGCAAAAACACAGCUCUCUGCGAAGCCGUAAGGCGAAGUAUAGGGGGUGACACCUGCCCGGUGCUGGAAGGUUAAGGAGAGGGGUUAGCGUAAGCGAAGCUCUGAACUGAAGCCCCAGUAAACGGCGGCCGUAACUAUAACGGUCCUAAGGUAGCGAAAUUCCUUGUCGGGUAAGUUCCGACC
rnacentral:rRNA from 1 species